GACGAACGCUGGCGGCGUGCCUAAUACAUGCAAGUCGAACGAGAGCGACCGGUGCUUGCACUGGUCAAUCUAGUGGCGGACGGGUGAGUAACACGUGGGUAACCUGCUCAUCAGAGGGGGAUAACAUCCGGAAACGGAUGCUAAAACCGCAUAGGUCUUCGAGCCGCAUGGCUUGAAGAGGAAAAGAGGCGCAAGCUUCUGCUGAUGGAUGGACCCGCGGUGCAUUAGCUAGUUGGUGAGGUAACGGCUCACCAAGGCCGUGAUGCAUAGCCGACCUGAGAGGGUGAUCGGCCACAUUGGAACUGAGACACGGCCCAAACUCCUACGGGAGGCAGCAGUAGGGAAUCUUCCGCAAUGGACGCAAGUCUGACGGAGCAACGCCGCGUGAGUGAAGAAGGUUUUCGGAUCGUAAAACUCUGUUGUUAGAGAAGAACAAGUGCUAGAGUAACUGUUAGCGCCUUGACGGUAUCUAACCAGAAAGCCACGGCUAACUACGUG
rnacentral:rRNA from 1 species